rnacentral:rRNA from 1 species
GCAGUCGACGAUGAAGGGGAGCUUGCUUCUUGGAUUAGUGGCGAACGGGUGAGUAACACGUGAGUAACCUGCCCUUGACUCUGGGAUAAGCACUGGAAACGGUGUCUAAUACCGGAUACGAACUUCCACCGCAUGGUGAGGGGUUGGAAAGAAUUUUGGUCAAGGAUGGACUCGCGGCCUAUCAGCUAGUUGGUGAGGUAAUGGCUCACCAAGGCGACGACGGGUAGCCGGCCUGAGAGGGUGACCGGCCACACUGGGACUGAGACACGGCCCAGACUCCUACGGGAGGCAGCAGUGGGGAAUAUUGCACAAUGGGCGCAAGCCUGAUGCAGCAACGCCGCGUGAGGGACGAAGGCCUUCGGGUUGUAAACCUCUUUUAGUAGGGAAGAAGCGUAAAAGUGACGGUACCUGCAGAAAAAGCACCGGCUAACUACGUGCCAGCAGCCGCGGUAAUACGUAGGGUGCAAGCGUUAUCCGGAAUUAUUGGGCGUAAAGAGCUCGUAGGCGGUUUGUCGCGUCUGCUGUGAAAUCUGGGGGCUCAACCCCCAGCCUGCAGUGGGUACGGGCAGACUAGAGUGCGGUAGGGGAGAUUGGAAUUCCUGGUGUAGCGGUGGAAUGCGCAGAUAUCAGGAGGAACACCAAUGGCGAAGGCAGAUCUCUGGGCCGUAACUGACGCUGAGGAGCGAAAGCAUGGGGAGCG